GACGAACGCUGGCGGCGUGCCUAACACAUGCAAGUCAACUUGACUGAAGGAGCAAUCUGACAGUAGAGUGGCGCAAGGGUGCGUAACGCGUAAGUAACUUGCCCCAAGGUAAGGAAUAACGUCGAGAAAUCGGCGCUAAUACCUCAUAAUGCAGCGGAUCCGCAUGGAUAUGUUGUUAAAGGUUUACCGCCUUGGGAUAGGCUUGCGUCUGAUUAGUUAGUUGGUGUGGUAACGGCACACCAAGGCUACGAUCAGUAACUGGUCUGAGAGGAUGAUCAGUCACACUGGAACUGAGACACGGUCCAGACUCCUACGGGAGGCAGCAGUGAGGAAUAUUGGGCAAUGCUCGAAAGAGUGACCCAGCAACGCCGCGUGGAGGAUGGAAGGUAUUCUAUAUCGU
rnacentral:rRNA from 1 species